rnacentral:rRNA from 1 species
AACGAACGCUGGCGGCGUGCUUAACACAUGCAAGUCGAGCGGUAAGGCCCUUUCGGGGGUACACGAGCGGCGAACGGGUGAGUAACACGUGGGUGACCUGCCCUUAGCUCUGGGAUAAGCCUGGGAAACUGGGUCUAAUACCGGAUAUGACUCCAUGACGCAUGUUGUGGGGUGGAAAGCCUUGUGCGGCUAGGGAUGGGCCCGCGGCCUAUCAGCUUGUUGGUGGGGUGAUGGCCUACCAAGGCGACGACGGGUAGCCGGCCUGAGAGGGCGACCGGCCACACUGGGACUGAGACACGGCCCAGACUCCUACGGGAGGCAGCAGUGGGGAAUCUUGCGCAAUGGGCGAAAGCCUGACGCAGCGACGCCGCGUGAGGGAUGACGGCCUGGUU